rnacentral:rRNA from 1 species
GAUGAACGCUGGCGGCGUGCCUAAUACAUGCUAGUCGAGCGAACAGACGAGGAGCUUGCUCCUCUGACGUUAGCGGCGGACGGGUGAGUAACGCGUGGAUAACCUACCUAUAAGACUGGGAUAACUUCGGGAAACCGGAGCUAAUACCGGAUAAUAUAUUGAACCGCAUGGUUCAAUAGUGAAAGACGGUUUUGCUGUCACUUAUAGAUGGAUCCGCGCCGCAUUAGCUAGUUGGUAAGGUAACGGCUUACCAAGGCGACGAUGCGUAGCCGACCUGAGAGGGUGAUCGGCCACACUGGAACUGAGACACGGUCCAGACUCCUACGGGAGGCAGCAGUAGGGAAUCUUCCGCAAUGGGCGAAAGCCUGACGGAGCAACGCCGCGUGAGUGAUGAAGGUCUUCGGAUCGUAAAACUCUGUUAUUAGGGAAGAACAAAUGUGUAAGUAACUAUGCACGUCUUGACGGUACCUAAUCAGAAAGCCACGGCUAACUACGUG